UCCACAAUAGCUUAAGCAGGUUAGAGCACUUGUAAUCGGCUCAAGUUGUCCAGGUUCAAAUCCUUGGUUGUGGAC